UGUCAAGAUGGCAGAAAAAUGCGAUAGACUUAAAAUCUAUAUAUGGUUUAUCCUCUUGGUAA
rnacentral:tRNA from 1 species